GGACUCCCUGGCCGAGAGAGCCGAGGAGGAGGAGCGGCUCAGCCGGCGGCUGCGGGACAGCCAGGAGACCAUCGCCAGCCUCAAAUCCCAGCCCCAGCAGAUAAAGUAUAUCAUCAAGACGGUGGAGGUGGAGUCAGCCAAGGCAAAACAAGCCCUGUGCGAGACCCAGUCCCGAAACCAGUACCUGCAGGAGCAGGUGGGGAUGCAGAGGCAGGUGCUGAAGGAGAUGGAACAGCAGCUGCAAAACUCCCAGAAGACAGAGGCUCAGCUCCGAGCUCAGAUUGUGAUGUACGAGGCUGAGCUGGAGCGAGCCCAUGGGCAGAUGCUGGAGGAGAUGCAGGCGAUGGAGGAGGAGAAGAAUCGUGCCAUUGAAGAGGCAUUUUCCCGUGCCCAGGUGGAGAUGAAGGCAGUGCACGAGAACCUGGCAGGUGUCCGGACCAACCUGCUGACACUGCAGCCAGCUCUGCGCACCCUCACCCACGACUACAACAGCCUGAAGCGUCAGGUCCGCGACUUCCCCCUGCUCCUCCAGGAGACCCUGCGCAGCGCCAGGGCCGAGAUCAGCCAGGCCAUCGAGGAGGUGCACAGCACCAACCGGGAACUGCUGCGCAAGUACCGGCGGGAGCUGCAGCUCCGCAAGAAGUGUCACAACGAGCUGGUGCGGCUGAAAGGAAACAUCCGUGUUUUCGGGAGAGUCCGCCCCAUCACAAAGGAGGAUGGUGAGGGCCCGGAGGCGGCCAAUGCAGUGACUUUUGACACCGAUGAUGAUGCUGUCCUGCACCUCCUGCACAAGGGGAAGCAGGUGUCCUUCGAGCUGGAUAAAGUCUUCCCCCCACAAGCAUCCCAGGAGGAGGUGUUUCAGGAGGUUCAAGCCCUGGUCACCUCCUGCAUUGAUGGCUACAACGUUUGCAUCUUCGCCUAUGGGCAGACAGGGGCAGGAAAAACCUACACAAUGGAGGGAACGGCAGCAAAUCCAGGGAUCAACCAGCGGGCCCUGCAGCUCCUCUUCUCCGAGGUGCGGGGCAAAGCAGCCGACUGGGAUUACACCAUCACCGUCAGCGCCGCCGAGAUCUACAACGAGUCGCUCAGGGACUUGCUGGGGAAGGAGCCACAGGAGAAGCUGGAGAUCAAGCUGUGCCCCGAUGGCAGCGGGCAGCUCUAUGUGCCCGGGCUCACCGAGUUCAGGGUGCAGAGCGUGGAGGACAUCAACAAGGUCUUUGAUUUUGGCCACGUCAAACGGGUGACAGAGUGCACCAACCUGAACGAGCACAGCUCUCGCUCUCACGCGCUCCUCAUCAUCACCGUCCGUGGCCUCGACCGCAGCACGGGGCUCCGCACCACAGGGAAGCUGAACCUGGUGGACCUGGCGGGCUCGGAGCGGGUCGGGCGGUCGGGCGCGGAGGGCAGCCGGCUCCGCGAGGCGCAGCACAUCAACAAGUCCCUCUCGGCACUGGGCGACGUCAUUUACGCCCUGCGCUCCCGGCAGGGCCACGUGCCCUUCCGCAACUCCAAGCUGACCUACCUGCUGCAGGACUCGCUCAGCGGCGACAGCAAGACCCUCAUGAUGGUGCAGGUCUCCCCUGCCGAGAAAAACACCAGCGAGACGCUGUGCUCCCUGAAGUUUGCCGAGAGAGUUCGCUCCGUGGAGCUGGGUCCUGUCUCCCGCAAGGCUGAGCUGGCCUCCUGGCCCAGCCAGGAGCAGCUGGAGGGUGACUCACCGGGUUCUGCAGCAACACCUGGCCGGGGCCACACAUCCCACAGCCCAGGGCAGCUCUCCAGUCGCUCCGCCUCCAUCCGCAGGAAGCUCCACACUUCAGGUGGGUGGUGGGGCACCUUGGGAGCCCAUAUGGGGUCCCUCCAUCCAAGGAGGUUCCCACCACAAGCCCGUGGCAAAGCCUGCAUGAGGGAGUGAGCAGAUUCGUAAUCAGCUCAUUAACUAAUUGCUAAUUAGCCAUGGUCAGCACUUCCCCAAGAGCACCCUGGUGCAAAGCUGCUGCUGGCGGCUCAGGGGGUGUGGGGAGGACAAUGCCACCAGGCUGAACUUCUCUCCCCUUUGAUUUCAGCCUGACUUAGGGGCAGCCGUGGCUGCCAGGGAAGCUGAGGUCGGUCCCACUGUGAUAAGUGCCAGCUCCCAGCUCGGGCACCAAACCCUCUCCAGGACCCAGCCCCUCACGGCGACACAGAGGUGGCUGCUGGAAGAAAUGAAGGCUUCAGUGCUGUUCCCUUGGUCACCAGGACCUGUGACCUGAGGGUGAUGGCACCUCUCACAAUGAGCAGUACAGGACCAGGGUCUCCUAGCAGCCAGAUCCCCCUCUCAGGGUGGGGGACAGUGGUGCUGGGCAGGAAUCUGCCCCCUCAGAUGCUCAGCUAUGUGACAGUUGAUUUUAGCCAGAGCGGGGAGCUGCUGGGUGCUCCCUCCAUCUCUCCAGCUUUGUUUUUACAAUGAAACUGGGUUGGAGGGGGUUCUUGGAGCUGGAGGGUGUGCUUGGAGCCAGGCUAGCCCCUGGCUAUGCCUCUGCUACCCCCACAGGGCCAGCCUGGCUAUGGCUCCCCCACGACUGCACCCAGGCAACUGCCCGUUGUCUUUCAGAGCAGCAUUUCCUCCAUGGUAAGUCAGAAAAAAAUUCCAGCAGCUCCUUCCCCCGUCGGUUUCUCAAGCCCUGUUGUUGCAUGAAGGCCCCUGGUGCCGUGCAUGAGCCGAGCUGCCGUUCCUCGUGGUGCCAGUGCUGCCAGGCCCCGGCACAGACCCGGAGCGGUCGCGGGCCGCCUGUGUUACACGGCACCAGGGGGAUUUCGCAGUCUCGAAUGAAGCUAUUGUAAAGUUAUUUACCAGUUGUCUUGUCAAGAGAGAUCACAGUGUGGUCGAGAUGAAAGUGUUUGAAAUAUUUAUGCCUGUUUACAUGGACUUGGAACGGAAAACUAAUGGAAAACAAGCAAAAGUACCCCAAACCUCCAGCCCAAAAGCCUGUUGGCUUAUGUCUGGGGAUGGCAGCUAGCAGGGGCAUGGGAAGGGGAUGGCACUGCCCGUGGUCCUGAGCACCCACCUGUGGGUACGUUUCCUCCUGCUGCAAAUACCUGCUGGAUGCACUGAUGGCUCCUUCCACCACGGCCCUCUCCUCUCACACUUCCACAGCAUAUUCUAUUUAAAAACAAAAAAGGGAAAAAUAAAUUUAGCCUUUUGUAUGAUUAAAUGUUUCUAUGUAUUUUAAUAAUUAAAAAUUAUCCUGUUU